UUGCUGUUAAACAUAAUUAAUAAAUAAAUAAAAAAUAAUCAUAAAAAUUCACUGGAGGGCGAAAAAUUUAGAUUUCAAAUUUAGAUUUAAAUCUUCCUAAAGAAAAACAAUACAAACACUUUUAACUAUUUGUAUUUUAUAUAUUUUUUUUCUGCCAGCUAAAGUGAAACUAUUUGAAUAUGUAAUCAGGUGCCUCAAUUUCUUCUGGCACUGAAUUAAUAAAGUGAAGAAGAAGGAGGAGGGAAAAGAAGGAUUGGCACUGGCAGACUGAAGAUCGGAAGUAGUUUUGUUCAUGCUAAUGAAGGAGUUGCGCUUGUGGAUAUUUACGUUCUCCGGGAGCCGCCCUUCCAUCACCACAUGGUUAAAAGCUGCCCGCGUUCGCGCCACUUUCGCAAUUUUACUACGCGUUUGUAACGGCGUGCUCUGAUGCUCACGCGCUCAUGGUUUAUUUCCAGCACUUUGGCGUUUAGUUUCGACGGAGGGAUGGCUGUAAACGGAUCUCCAGAAUGGCGCUUUCCCAUGGAUAAAGUGACUCCAGCAGCCGUGACCUGUCCCACGUCAUGUCACUGUAGUGUCAAAGUGCUUACAGUGCAGGUAGUUCAAUAUAAUCUACUGCAGUGGAGGCACUUCAAGCUUUACCGUGACGCAAAAACUCGAGCGCAACCAUGA
ensembl:lincRNA